rnacentral:rRNA from 1 species
GACAGAGGAUGCAAGCGUUAUCCGGAAUGAUUGGGCGUAAAGCGUCUGUAGGUGGCUUUUUAAGUCCGCCGUCAAAUCCCAGGGCUCAGCCCUGGACAGGCGGUGGAAACUACCAAGCUGGAGUACGGUAGGGGCAGAGGGAAUUUCCGGUGGAGCGGUGAAAUGCGCAGAUAUCAGGAGGAACACCGAUGGCGAAGGCAGGUCUCUGGGCCACUACUGACGCUGAGAAGCGAAAGCAUGGGGAGCGAACAGG